rnacentral:tRNA from 9 species
GGGCCUGUAGCUCAGUUGGUUAGAGCAAUCGACUCAUAAUCGAUUGGUCGUAGGUUCAAGUCCUACCAGGCCCA